rnacentral:lncRNA from 1 species
AUAGUUUGCUUUUUGAUGGGCGCAGAUACAAGACUGUUGCGCUUGGCAGAAACACCGUUGUUUGAAGAGAGAGUGGCCUUUGGUUUGGAUCCGUUUGCAACGACAGGUUUAGGACUAGCCUUUGUUGGUGUUGCAUCAAUGCUCUUAGCAUGAGCCCCGAAUGAAGAGCUCUGAGAAAGGAACCUCGGGCUACGAGAGAAGGUCCCUGUCUUUUUCUUGACAGCUUUA